rnacentral:rRNA from 1 species
UACGUAGGGUGCGAGCGUUGUCCGGAAUUAUUGGGCGUAAAGAGCUCGUAGGCGGUUUGUCGCGUCUGCUGUGAAAUCCCGAGGCUCAACUUCGGGCUUGCAGUCGAUACGGGCAGGCUAGAGUUCGGUAGGGGAGACUGGAAUUCCUGGUGUAGCGGUGAAAUGCGCAGAUAUCAGGAGGAACACCAAAGGCGAAGGCAGUGUCCUGGGGAGUACCUGACGCUCAGGUGCGAAAGCCAGGGAGCGGA